CAGCUUCGGGACUCCGAAAGAAGGCAGCAGUGGGACUCCUACGGGAGGCAGCAGUGGGACUUCUCCCGGAGGCAGCAGUGGGACUCCUACGGGAGGCAGCAGUGGGACUCCUACGGGAGGCAGCAGUGGGACAGUUGGCUCAGAACGAACGCUGGCGGCCCACUCCUACGGGAGGCAGCAGUGGGACUCCUACGGGAGGCAGCAGUGGGACUCCUACGGGAGGCAGCAGUGGGACUCCUACGGGAGGCAGCAGUGGGACUCCUACGGGAGGCAGCAGUGGGGCAGUUGGCUCAGAACGAACGCUGGCGGCUGGCUCAGAACGAACGC
rnacentral:misc_RNA from 1 species